AGACAAUAGAUACCCAGGUAGUCCGCACAGUAAACGAUGAUAACUAGUUGUUUGCGAUAUACAGUAAAGCGACCAAAGCGAAAGCGAUAAGUUAUCCACCUGGGGAGUACGCCCGCAAGGGUGAAACUCAAAGGAAUUGACGGGGGCCCGCACAAGCGGAGGAGCAUGUGGUUUAAUUCGAUGAUACGCGAGGAACCUUACCAGGGCUUGAAAGUUAAGGAAUGAUUAUGAAAGUAGUCAGUCAGCAAUGACCUAAAACUAGGUGCUGCAUGGCUGUCGUCAGCUCGUGCCGUGAGGUGUUGGGUUAAGUCCCGCAACGAGCGNAACCCCUACUUCUAGUUGCUACCAUUAAGUUGAGGACUCUAGAGGAACUGCCCGUGCAAACGGUGAGGAA
rnacentral:rRNA from 1 species